rfam:Apaloderma vittatum contig3019, whole genome shotgun sequence.
GGGCCGGUAAGCUCAGUCAGUUGAGCGUAGCGCUAACAACGCUAAGGUCACUGGUUUGAUUCCCGUUCGGUCCC